UACGUAGGGUGCGAGCGUUGUCCGGAAUUAUUGGGCGUAAAGGGCUCGUAGGCGGUUUGUCGCGUCGGGAGUGAAAACCCAAGGCUUAACCCUGGGCUGGCUUCCGAUACGGGCAGACUAGAGGUAUGCAGGGGAGAACGGAAUUCCUGGUGUAGCGGUGAAAUGCGCAGAUAUCAGGAGGAACACCGGUGGCGAAGGCGGUUCUCUGGGCAUUACCUGACGCUGAGGAGCGAAAGUGUGGGGAGCGAACAGG
rnacentral:rRNA from 1 species